rnacentral:tRNA from 1 species
GGGGCAGUAGCUCAGACGGUAGAGCAGUGAUCACUUUCCGCUUUUUGGCAAAUAAAGUUCCUAUUUUACGUGUCACAGGUUCGAUUUCUGUCUGCUCCA